rnacentral:rRNA from 1 species
AACGAACGCUGGCGGCAGGCCUAACACAUGCAAGUCGAGCGGACCUUUCGGGGUCAGCUGCGGACGGGUGAGUAACGCGUGGGAAUAUGCCCUUCUCUACGGAAUAGUCCUGGGAAACUGGGGGUAAUACCGUAUACGCCCUUUGGGGGAAAGAUUUAUCGGGGAAGGAUUAGCCCGCGUUGGAUUAGGUAGUUGGUGGGGUAAUGGCCUACCAAGCCGACGAUCCAUAGCUGGUUUGAGAGGAUGAUCAGCCACACUGGGACUGAGACACGGCCCAGACUCCUACGGGAGGCAGCAGUGGGGAAUCUUAGACAAUGGGGGCAAACCUGAUCUAGCCAUGCCGCGUGAGUGAUGAAGGCCUUAGGGUUGUAAAGCUCUUUCAGCUGGGAAGAUAAUGACGGUAACAGCAGAAGAAGCCCCGGCUAACUACGUG